GAUGAACGCUAGCGGCAGGCCUAAUACAUGCAAGUCGGACGGAGUGGCGCACGGGUGCGUAACGCGUGAGCAACCUACCUCUAUCAGGGGGAUAGCCUCUCGAAAGAGAGAUUAACACCGCAUAGAUAGAGAUGGGCUCGCGUGACAUUAGCUAGUUGGUAGGGUAACGGCUUACCAAGGCGACGAUGUCUAGGGGAUCUGAGAGGAGAAUCCCCCACGCUGUUACUGAGACACGGACCAGACUCCUACGGGAGGCAGCAGUAAGGAAUAUUGGUCAAUGGGCGGAAGCCUGAACCAGCCAUGCCGCGUGCAUGAUGACUGCCUAUGGGUUGUAAACUGCUUUUGUCCAGGAAUAUGUACUGGAAGAAUAAGGAUCGGCUAACUCCGUGCCAGCAGCCGCGGUAAUUC
rnacentral:rRNA from 1 species